rnacentral:rRNA from 1 species
GAUGAACGCUGGCGGCGUGCCUAAUACAUGCAAGUCGAGCGAACAGACGAGGAGCUUGCUCCUCUGACGUUAGCGGCGGACGGGUGAGUAACACGUGGAUAACCUACCUAUAAGACUGGGAUAACUUCGUGAAACCGGAGCUAAUACCGGAUAAUAUAUUGAACCGCAUGGUUCAAUAGUGAAAGACGGUUUUGCUGUCACUUAUAGAUGGAUCCGCGCCGCAUUAGCUAGUUGGUAAGGUAACGGCUUACCAAGGCAACGAUGCGUAGCCGACCUGAGAGGGUGAUCGGCCACACUGGAACUGAAACACGGUCCAGACUCCUACGGGAGGCAGCAGUAGGGAAUCUUCCGCAAUGGGCGAGAGCCUGACGGAGCAACGCCGCGUGAGCGAUGAAGGUCUUCGGAUCGUAAAACUCUGUUAUUAGGGAAGAACAAAUGUGUAAGUAACUAUGCACGUCUUGACGGUACCUAAUCAGAAAGCCACGGCUAACUACGUG